GUGGGGAAUAUUGGACAAUGGGCGAAAGCCUGAUCCAGCCAUGCCGCGUGUGUGAGGAAGGUCUUCGGAUUGUAAAGCACUUUAAGUUGGGAGGAAGGGCAGUAAGUUAAUACCUUGCUGUUUUGACGUUACCGACAGAAUAAGCACCGGCUAACUUCGUGCCAGCAGCCGCGGUAAUACGAAGGGUGCAAGCGUUAAUCGGAAUUACUGGGCGUAAAGCGCGCGUAGGUGGUUUUGUAAGUUGGAGGUGAAAUCCCCGGGCUCAACCUGGGAACUGCCUCCAAAACUGCAUGACUAGAGUACGGUAGAGGGUAGUGGAAUUUCCUGUGUAGCGGUGAAAUGCGUAGAUAUAGGAAGGAACACCAGUGGCGAAGGCGACUACCUGGACUGAUACUGACACUGAGGUGCGAAAGCGUGGGGAGCAAACAGGAUUAGAUACCCGAGUAGUCC
rnacentral:rRNA from 1 species